GGCCGUUUGAUAUUUCCGUCGCCRUGUCAGACGUCGCGACCUGUUCGUUGCCGGUCCUUGUUCGGAGGAAUYGCGAUCGAGUUCGUUGCGGGUGCGUUUCGGCGUGUCCCGCGGCGAAGACGCGACUCUCUGGCUGGCGACGGACAGUAAGCAAUGGUGGCCGGCGCGGUGUCUCGCACUCUGCGUCGGUGCCGGUCAGCGACGAUUUCUUCGGGCCUCUUUCCGACCCGUCUUGAAACACGGACCAAGGAGUCUAACAUGCGCGCGAGUCGCGGGGUUUCGAGUGUGCUACGGUGCGCUCGUUACUUCCGAAACCCGUACGUUGAAGGCGUAAUGAAAGUGAACAGGGAAGAUGGCGUUCCGAGUCCACGUACCGUGAUCGUGUAUCGCGGCCGGACGUCCGCACUCCCGGGGCGUCUCAAUGGUUCGACGCGGAUGCGGACGAUCGUCUUUCGGGGCGGUCGUCGGUCUGCGUCGGUCCGAGGCGCACCUAUAGCGUGCACGUUGGUACCCGAAAGAUGGUGAACUAUGCCUGGCCAGGAUGAAGUCAGGGGAAACCCUGAUGGAGGUCCGCA
rnacentral:rRNA from 1 species